rnacentral:rRNA from 1 species
UACGGAGGGUGCAAGCGUUAUCCGGAUUCACUGGGUUUAAAGGGAGCGUAGGUGGCUUUGUAAGUCAGUGGUGAAAUAUUGCGGCUCAACCGCAAAACUGCCAUUGAUACUGCUUAGCUUGAAUCAAGUAGAGGUGGAUGGAAUAUUACAUGUAGCGGUGAAAUGCUUAGAUAUGUAAUAGAACACCAAUUGCGAAGGCAGUUCACUAUGCUUGUAUUGACACUGAGGCUCGAAAGCGUGGGGAUCAAACAGG